GUGUUGCACCAUUUUUUAAGUCGAGGGUACGUGGGGCCCACAUUUUGGUGAUCUUGACUGUUCAUCUGGUGGGCCCCUGUGGUUAAUGCCCUAGAAUUGGAAACGGAUUGGCUUCUCCCCCUGACACCAGCAUUGGCUGGUGGUCGGUGCUCUGUGGGGCCCACCAUGAUGUAUGUGUUUCAUCCAUGCCGUCCAUCUAUUUUUACAGAUCAUUUUAAGGUAUGAGACCAAAAAUGAGAUAUGUCCCAGUCUCAAUUGGACUACAUUACAGGAAACAGUGUUUAAUGAGCGUCGACUAUUAAAAACAUUUUGGGGGCCAUAAAAGUUUUGGAUCAAGCUGAUUUUUGUUUUUUUUCCUUCACCUGGGCCUGUAUGACCUAAUCAACAGAUUGGAUGUCAAAUAAACAGAACUGUGGGCCUUAGGAGGAUAUUAAUGGUGGAUAUCCAAUCACUAUUGUUUUCAUGUGGUGUGGUCCACCCGAAGUUUAUGUAUCUCUCAUUUUUUGGAUCAAGCCCUCAAAUGAUCUUCAAAAAUGGAUGAACAGAAUGGAUGAAACACAUACAUCAUCGUGGGGCCCACAGAGCACCGACCACUGGUGGCAGGGGGAGUCGUCCAUCCGUUUCCUAGUGUCCUGAAGCCCCAAACCAUACAGUGGGCCCCACUUAUCGUGUUAGGUUCCAUAAGACCUGUGUGCUAUUGAUGAACGGUCAAAACAGCCGGAUGACCGGGUCUGGAUCUUCCAUGACUCUGCCAGCUGUACACAAAAGCAGGAGCUCGACUUGGCUGCGAUCCCGGAGACAGCUGUGGGUGGGCCUAUGGUCAGGGUCGCAGCCAAAUCGAGCAGUGACCACGAGGGCACAUGUAGACAUUUGAAUCUUGACCAUCCAUCUAAGUAGCUGAUGAUGUGAAGGCCACCUCAAAUGGGUGGAAAUCAUAUCAAGUCAAUGCUAUUUUUUCAAAAAACUAUUUCUAGAUCUGUGGAUGGACAGCUCCUCACGCCGUCCUUAUACGGCGGAAGAUAUCUUAACAAAAUUUUUCCA